CCAGUUCUACCAGCACCGUCCUAGCGUGAGGCCACGAACAUCUGCCCGCUGCCGCAGGUCAGGACUCAAUAGGGGAGCACCAUCUUCUCUACGCGGGUAAUUCUACCAAAACUCGUGCGGGUACGGAGUGAGAGACUGUGGGUGCGGGUCAAGAAUUACAUACCCGGGCAGACCUCUAUAACGAUACUGAUGGGAACGCAAAACUAUAUCGUUAUAUCGGAGUAUCGUGAACUGCGAAGUUUCGCGAAAUCGCCAAUCGGAAUCACGUUAAUGAAGUAGAACGGCACUGAACAUGCGUGUUUGUUGAAAGCAUGAGAGCAGUUUAUCUAGCUCUAAACUGAAGCUGCUUUGUGCGCAUUCCAUGAAGGCUCUUCUAACAGCAUAUAAGCGAUGCCACGUGAGGAUCCGCACCUCUUGAAAUCGAUCACCGCAGCCAGUGCUCGUCAUCACAGUGUCGUUGUCACGAAAUCCUUCAGCGGCACGUGCAAUAGAAGCAUCGACUGAAGAGCAUGGCUCCCAAUAUUCUGGAGGCAUUAUGCAGAACUCAUUACAUGUUGCAGCACCUGCUUCAUUAUAGUGUGUGGCCACGGAAGACAGCUGCUCAUGAGUUCCAGCAACGAGGCCUUCGAUAUCUCAUUACGCUUGCAGCUUGCAAGAAGCAGUGCUCGCUCGAAGUACAGCACGUGGUGGAUUCAUACUACGUGCUAGCCCGCGUAGUCGACGUGAUCGCUUCUGCUUAAAACAAAACGUGGUACGGGCAGGCUUCAACGCCCGGUGCCGUCCUUGCUUUUGAAGACCUACGCGGGAAAAUCAAGCCGGAAACGGCUUUCCUGAUUCCCUCGGAUCCUAUCAAUGGCAGGCAGUUACUUUCUCGGAAUAAAGGGAGAAUCUGAACGUCGAUGCCACAGGGCUUCUUUUCAUCAUCGGCUCUAUACCCUGAAGUGGCAUUUCCGCGGAGAAAACUGCGCACCGAGGACGCCUUUCAACGGGACGGCCGGCGAUGAAAGAAAACAAAGAAAAGGAACACUCUCUUCUGGCCACGAGACGGUCCUUCCUUUACGAUCAGCCCCGAAAGACCGCAAUGGAGCCACUGGUCGCCACACUCGGAGGGAGUUCUCCUUUUUACGACACACAACGUCCAACUGUGCGAUAUCGAGAACGCAACAAAGCAGGGAUGCAAAUCAACGCCAAGUCGACGUUGUUACUUUUCCAGGAACUCCGACGUGCGCGCACGAGCAAAUAUCAUACGGCAACGGCUGCUACGUUUACGCCAGUGUUGCGGGCCGGUUUUUCUUUUUUUUAAAGCUUCCCCUUUCUUAGAGGAGGAACAGGCCGAGGUUAUGGGGAAUUGCUAUAGAGUGGACUGUAUCGGAGCGUUCGAAAUGCUAUGCGAAAAAGAACGGGCGAUAUUACGUGCUAUACAGAAACUUCGUAGGAAUACCUGGAAGUUAAUCUACGCUUAAAAUGUACGUGAUUUUCAUCUCAAUAAAUUAACCUUGACGCUGACACAA